AGUAAGGUCAGCUAAUUAAGCUCUUGGGCUCAUGCCCCAACAAUGUUGGUUAAAGUCCUUCCCCUGCUAAACAAGUAA
rnacentral:tRNA from 1 species